rnacentral:rRNA from 1 species
UGGGGAAUAUUGGACAAUGGGCGAAAGCCUGAUCCAGCCAUGCCGCGUGAGUGAUGAAGGCCCUAGGGUUGUAAAGCUCUUUUGUGCGGGAAGAUAAUGACGGUACCGCAAGAAUAAGCCCCGGCUAACUUCGUGCCAGCAGCCGCGGUAAUACGAAGGGGGCUAGCGUUGCUCGGAAUCACUGGGCGUAAAGGGUGCGUAGGCGGGUUUCUAAGUCAGAGGUGAAAGCCUGGAGCUCAACUCCAGAACUGCCUUUGAUACUGGAAGUCUUGAAUUCGGGAGAGGUGAGUGGAACUGCGAGUGUAGAGGUGAAAUUCGUAGAUAUUCGCAAGAACACCAGUGGCGAAGGCGGCUCACUGGCCCGAUACUGACGCUGAGGCACGAAAGCGUGGGGAGCAAACA